rnacentral:rRNA from 1 species
ACGCUGGCGGCAGGCCUAACACAUGCGUGUCGAGCGGUAGAGAGAAGCCUGCUUCUCUUGAGAGCGGCGGACGGGUGAGUAAUGCCUAGGAAUCUGCCUGGUAGUGGGGGAUAACGUCCGGAAACGGACGCUAAUACCGCAUACGUCCUACGGGAGAAAGCAGGGGACCUUCGGGCCUUGCGCUAUCAGAUGAGCCUAGGUCGGAUUAGCUAGUUGGUGGGGUAAUGGCUCACCAAGGCGACGAUCCGUAACUGGUCUGAGAGGAUGAUCAGUCACACUGGAACUGAGACACGGUCCAGACUCCUACGGGAGGCAGCAGUGGGGAAUAUUGGACAAUGGGCGAAAGCCUGAUCCAGCCAUGCCGCGUGUGUGAAGAAGGUCUUCGGAUUGUAAAGCACUUUAAGUUGGGAGGAAGGGUUGUAGAUUAAUACUCUGCAAUUUCGACGUUACCGACAGAAUAAGCACCGGCUAACUCUGUGCCAGCAGCCGCGGUAAUACAGAGGGUGCAAGCGUUAAUCGGAAUUACUGGGCGUAAAGCGCGCGUAGGUGGUUUGUUAAGUUGGAUGUGAAAUCCCCGGGCUCAACCUGGGAACUGCAUUCAAAACUGACUGACUAGAGUAUGGUAGAGGGUGGUGGAAUUUCCUGUGUAGCGGUGAAAUGCGUAGAUAUAGGAAGGAACACCAGUGGCGAAGGCGACCACCUGGACUAAUACUGACACUGAGGUGCGAAAGCGUGGGGAGUAAAC